rnacentral:rRNA from 1 species
AGCGAACGCUGGCGGCAGGCUUAACACAUGCAAGUCGAGGGGCCGUAGCAAUACGGCACCGGCAGACGGGAGAGUAACACGUGGGAACGUGCCCAUCAGUUCGGAACAACCCAGGGAAACUUGGGCUAAUACCGGAUACGCCCUUACGGGGAAAGAUUUAUCGCUGAUGGAGCGGCCCGCGUCUGAUUAGCUAGUUGGUGAGGUAACGGCUCACCAAGGCGACGAUCAGUAGCUGGUCUGAGAGGAUGAUCAGCCUCACUGGGACUGAGACACGGCCCAGACUCCUACGGGAUGCAGCAGUGGGGAAUAUUGGACAAUGGGCGCAAGCCUGAUCCAGCCAUGCCGCGUGAGCGAUGAAGGCCUUAGGGUUGUAAAGCUCUUUCAGUGGGGAAGAUAAUGACGGUACCCACAGAAGAAGCCCCGGCUAACUCCGUGCCAGCCGCCGCAGUAAAAC